CUAUUAAUUCAACAAAAAUAUAAAGGUAUAAAUUAGAAUAUAAAUGUUAAAAGGUGAUUUGAUGUUGCAUGUUUAUUCGAAAUAAACUUUUAACUAAAGAUCUUAGUACCACUCCACAGUUCGAAUUACCUGUCAUCAGGUAAUCAGGUGAGUGGUACCUUUUGCAUCCGAAAGAGAAUGCGUUAAGAAAAUGUUAAUACAAAGAAUAUAUACAAUAUAAAAUUGACUUAUAUAUCAUAUACAUCCGGUUAUAUCCGGUGUUCAAAUUUUGUAUGUUUGCAAGAUUUUAAUUUAUUUACGGCUGAGGUCAAAAUAUUAAAUUCUGCACUCGUUUUCAAAAGUUAUCUUCCCCUCUCGAGUUGCUUAAAAAAAAAGCGAAACUUAAAAAUUCUGCAAAUAAGAAAAUAUGAUUCAAAUUUACAAAAUUUUGCAUUUAUUCUUUUUUCGUAGUUCCUUAAAAACGAUAGAUAUUAAAUUUUGUAUUUAAUCAUCAUUUCAUCUUAAAUUUUGUAUUUAAUCAUUAUUUCAUGUUUCUGGCGAUAUAUUCCGGGAUGUGCUUUUUUUUUACAAGUUUUGCACUCGAUUAAGUUGAAUGGAAAUUGUUUUUGUUGCAUCACAGAUCUUGAUUGAAAAAAUUAUAAUUUGUUCAUAAAUGCUUGGCGUUCGUUUUAGGUUUAUUGUAGGACAUAUGCUUACUAAAAACUAAUAAGAAUAUAUUCGAAAGUAAAUAAGAUACAGUGGUGGUCCAGUAUAACGAAUGCCGAUAUAACGAAUGUUCGAUAUUACGAACACUUUUUUCAAGUCCAUUAGGUAUUCUAUAUAACGAGUAAAAAAAGGUGAGGAAUUUGAUUAGCAGGAUGAUAUUCCUCUAUCAGUUCUCCGUAAUCAAGACGAUAAUAUGAUUGUGUAGCAAAUACGGUGGCUUCUAUGAAAAGUAUUUUCUCAGAGACUGAAAUCCGAAUCAUAUCCGAAAUUUUGACAGUUGCAUCCAAUGGGCAGAACAAAAUGGAAUUGAAAAUUCUUAAGUCUUAGUUCUAAGAAGUUUACGGGCAGAGGCAUUUAAAUGAAGUUAUAUUAUAUAUGUUUUUUUUUAUUCUGUUAAGUGAAGUAUGUAAGAAUUGUUUUUUAGAAGUUUGAAAUAAAUUAAUGAUAGAUACAAAUGUACUUUCUAUUAACCUAAGGAUUUGUAUGAAAAAAAAAGUUUCGAUAUAACGAAUUAACUCUGGACAUUAUAUCGUUCGUUAUACUGGAAUACCAAUGUACUGAGACUAUUUAAAGGCAAAGUGUAAGCACUAGUUUACAGAUUUGGAAAACUAUAACAAAUGUUACUGAAAAAAAAGUACUUAUGAAUUUCCCAAGUAGCACGCAUUUCAAUUUUGGAACAAGUGAACUAAAAAACAUUCGCAUUACUUUAUAUUUUUCUUGAAACAACUAAAUUACUAAACAUUUCUAAAUAGUUUUUUUUUGUGAUCCUUAAAAACAGAUAAUAAAAGUUGCAAUAACAAAGCCUCAAAGGUAUAUUAUUUUCGAAUGUUAAAAAUUUUAAUCUUAAAAACCUGUCUUGUAAGAUUGAUCUUGAUGCUCAUCAAAAUCCUUGUUGACGUACGUUGAUCUUAUUUUGUUUCUUUGUAAAAUAAAUUGUCAAACUAUCCAUCACCCUCAUUAAUGAGGGCAAAACAAAGUACAUGCUGUCGUCAAGGAAGGACAUACAACACCGACGUCUUGGUCAAAACGUCACAAUCGACAGACGUAACUUUGAGGUAGUCAAGGACUUCAUCUACUUAGGCUCCGCUGUAAACGCAGAAAACAACACCAGCGCUGACAGGAAGACCUCCAAUCAGGUGGCGCGCACAAGUGGAAGGUGACCUCACCCAACCUGGAGCGCGAAACUGGAGACAUCUAGCUAGGGACCGAGCUAGAUAGAGAAGUUUGUUGGGUGAGGCCCUAGUUCACACAGGACUGUAGCGCCACCUUAAGUAAGUAAGUCAGUAAUCCAUCACCCCUGCGGUCUCUUCAAAAGCAAUGAUUUUAAUUGCUUUCAUAUUAAAUCUUAAAUUAAAGAAAAUACAAUUUUUAUUUUUCGUUUAUUUUAAAUCUUUCAGUCUAAAGGACAUACAGAGUUGAGUAAAAGUAGUAUUCCUUUGCAAUCCUCAUUUUUUUUACAAUAACGUACUCACGCAUAACAAGAACUCAUUUAAGAGUUUUAUAUUAAAAUGCUUUAUAACUAUUUU